rnacentral:ncRNA from 1 species
CGACCCCUGGUCAGGCGGGAUCACCCGCUGAGUUUAAGCAUAUCAAUAAGCGGAGGAAACGAAACUAACAAGGAUUCCCUGAGUAACGGCGAGCGAACCGGGAAGAGCCCAACUUGAAAAUCCGAUGUCUUUGGCGUUCAAAUUGUAGUCUGGAGAAGCGUCCUCAGCGACGGACCGGGCCGAAGUUCCCUGGAAAGGGGCACCAUAGAGGGUGAGAGCCCCAUCGUGCCCGGACCCUGUCGCACCAUGAGGCGCUCUCUAUGAGUUGGGUUGUUUGGGAAUGCAGCCCCAAUCGGGCGGUAAAUUCCGUCCAAGGCUAAAUAUGGGCGAGAGACCGAUAGCGAACAAGUACCGCGAGGUAAAAAUGAAAAUGACUUUGAAAAGAAAGUCAAAGAGUGCUUGAAAUUGUCGGGAGGGAAGCGGAUGGGGGCCGGCGAUGCGUCCCGGUCGGAUGCGGAACGGAGCAAUCCGGUCCGCCGAUCGAUUCGGGGCGUGGACCGACGCGGAUUAAGGUGGUGACCUAAGCCCGGGCUUUUGUUACGCCCGCGGAGACGUCGCUGCCUUAA